AUAUAUAUUUUAUCAUGUACAAAAAUUUAGUUCUUAGUUCAAUUAAGCUAAGGAUUAAAGUUUUCAUGUUUAUUUAGUUUUAACUUCCAUUGGAGAGUGUAAGAAAAUCGUGUUCUGAACUUUUGAAAAAAGAUAUCGUACAGAAAUACACAGUGACUGUUACACAGUGACUGUUUGGUAUAAUAAGCUUGGGAUAUAUCCUCUGAAAGUUUUACAACUUCAGGGACAAAUCUUAGCUGUAACAAGACAUGGACGUUGUGGGUGUAGCUUUGUACGUGUUGUCAUGGAUACUGGCCGCCAUGUUUCUGAAAGCAGGCUUGGUCAAAGUAACCAGUCGUUUAUUUCCAAAGGAACACCAACAAGCAAGUAAACGGUUUGUUCUCUGUGCUGAUGUGUGCCCCACUGUUUUAUUCGGAUAUACGCCACCACCAGAUGGAUACAUGUUUGUGAUCGGAGUCAUAGAGACGCUUUGUUCUAUCCUGCUUAUGCUUCCUUUAACGAAUUUGCACGCUAGGAUUUAUUUAAUAUUCGCUGUCCUAAUGGCGCUUGCAAUUUACACCCAUGGUGUUCUAGCACAGUUUGGCAAAAUGGUACUCCCAAUGUGUCUUUUUCUAGCGUGUUUAGUAUUAUACAAAAUGGAACCUUUAACGUUAUCAAAAAUGCCUAUAAAAUAGAUUAGAUUAAAAUAGAUUUAUAUUACUUUGAAGCUUAGAAUGCAAAUGACUGUUAAUUAUUGUAACAACAAGUUACUAUCAACAUCAAUAAAGAGAACUUGUGUUAUUUGAGUGUUUUUUUUUCUAUAAGUGUUU